CUUUGACAAUGUUUUGUUUACAAUACGAUAGCAAUUCACGACUUAAAACUAAAUUAGACAUUACAGAAUUUUAGUAUAGAUUAAAUUACCAUGGCCAUUGUUAACGCACACGCGGUUCCCGGCAUUGCCCAUUUAUGCAAGGAACAUCUGAUACAUGAACUCCAAAUCAGAGGAUUAUCUGCCGAAGGAUGAGUAUCUGAUUUCGCCACCCGUCUUCGUGCCGCAGCGCAAACACCAAUUACCUUCCCUCUGCAACUUUUUGCUGCUCUUGCAGUUGGGGUCAGACUCACUGUGAGGCGGAAGGAUGUGCUCGUGGGAAUGAAGGAGGAAAUCACGCAGGCUUGGCCAUCAGCGGUGCGGUCGGUCUACCUUGCAGACAGUUGUGAGUUUGUGGUGGACCUGCCUGAUGUCAACUCUGGGCACUGUUUGUCACAUUGCCUUGGUGCCUGUUUUCUUGGAGAGAACCAUCCCUUGGACCAUUUCGAACAACGCUCUCCAUCGAAGGUUUUUCUGCGAGCUGGGGUGUAUGGGAGAGGCGCCACAUUCUGCUUUGGUGCUCAGAAGCUAUGACUUGUCGUCUAAUGGGAAGUGACUCCCGGUUGGGCCCCAGCAUUUAGGCAUUGUUUUGGAAGGCUGGUCUGUUGCUUCCCACAUUUUAAGUUAAGUCACCUUUUGCCCAGGGCAGCCUGGCAUCAUUGCCCAUUUAACCUGUGUCAUGUAUUUAAAAAAAGGUGGUUUUUUAAUUUGCUUGUGAAUCGAUUGUAUUAAUUAACUUGUUGUGCUCCUUGUGUUAUUUGGGUUCGUAACAAACUGGUGUGCUUGUAAAUCACUUUCAUAUUGAAGAUUCUUGCCUUAAAAAAACUAUCUUUGCCACCUUUUAAAAUCACCUUCAGAUUGUAACUUAUGUAUCUUAAGUAUUGAAAUCUCCAUGGCUAAUCUUUUAAGUCAUGUGAUUGUGUAUGUUGAUAUUGUCUUAAACAAGGCCACGUUUGAUUGCCUCUUAUCUGUUUUAUAAAAGCUUGUUUUGAAUAAAUUGUCAAUUAUUGAUUU